UGAGUUCCUGUGCUCGAAAGUAAAAUAUCGUUUGGGAAACCUUUUCAAAUUGAGCGCUUUUAUUGGAGACUGCCGUAAAAUCGAACUCUCUUCGUAAUGUUUACGUUUAGAAAAAGAGAAAUAUGAGUGUGAUGGACCAAAUUCUACGGCUUAGGACCUUGACAGGACUAAACUAGGAUAAAUGAGGAUCAUGGCAUACUAAAACAAUUUUCACCACAAGCCGAAACGAGUGCCCACAGGGUAUGGUGAAAGUUGAGAAGAGCGGAGGUUGAAUUGUGAGGACGAAAGUGCGAGUCAAGGCCCAACGUCUAUACAACAGGGAAAAUUCGCCGGAGAAUAGGUCAGGGUUUCCCUGCGCAUGCAGGAAGAUAAAGAAGAUAAAAAAUCGACUUUACCUGACAAGGAUUUCCUGGAUUGAGGGUUCCCUCGGAGAAGCAUUUGCGGUUUCCGUUGUAUUCUAUGACACAGUACUGGGGCUUCAGGGAGCAUCCUAUGCCGUUUUGUGUCUCGCACGGCAAGCAGUUGUAUGGGUGUCCCUUGCAUACGCCAUUGUCACAGUAGUCGUUCUUUGUCGUGGGGUUAUUAUCGUUGCACGGAAGGUGAUUAUUGUUAGUCCAGUGGAACUUGUUGUUGCCAUUACAUUGCUGUGUAAAACAAAAGCAAUCAUUCAAUAAAACUACGUCUUCAAUU